rnacentral:rRNA from 1 species
GAUGAACGCUGGCGGCGUGCUUAACACAUGCAAGUCGAACGGAAAGGCCCAAGCUUGCUUGGGUACUCGAGUGGCGAACGGGUGAGUAACACGUGGGUGAUCUGCCCUGCACUUCGGGAUAAGCCUGGGAAACUGGGUCUAAUACCGGAUAGGACGAUGGUUUGGAUGCCAUUGUGGAAAGUUUUUUCGGUGUGGGAUGAGCUCGCGGCCUAUCAGCUUGUUGGCGGGGUAAUGGCCUACCAAGGCGUCGACGGGUAGCCGGCCUGAGAGGGUGUACGGCCACAUUGGGACUGAGAUACGGCCCAGACUCCUACGGGAGGCAGCAGUGGGGAAUAUUGCACAAUGGGCGCAAGCCUGAUGCAGCGACGCCGCGUGGGGGAUGACGGCCUUCGGGUUGUAAACUCCUUUCGCUAGGGACGAAGCGUUUUUGUGACGGUACCUGGAGAAGAAGCACCGGCUAACUACGUG